ACUGGGAUGAGGACAUGGCUCUGGUGUGGCUGUGUUUUCUCAAUUCUGUUGAGGGAUUUGGGGUGAGUCGUGCUCCCCCUCUGUCUCCUCCUUUGGAAGAGAAUGCCCAGGACAGUGGUGCCAGUUUCAGGGUCGUGCUGCGGCAGCCUGGCGCCCGACAUGUGAAGGGGAACCUGCCAGGGGAUUACUGUGAGCUAACAGCAGGAUAGGCUGGCCCCGGGGGAGUGGGGAUGGGCAGAACCCGGGCCAGGAGUAUUAGGAAGGAGACCUGGACCCUGGUGGGGAGCUCAGCACAAGCUCGCCUGACCCAGAUGGUAUUGGACACAGUGCCCCGCUGAACAGCAGCUGUUCCCAGCGCCAGAGGACCCCACAGUCACAGUAGGAGCUUUGCGACCCCUACGCAACUGCAGCUGGGGCUGGGGCCACCAGGAGAAGGGACCAGCACCUCAGAUGGGAAGCAGAAGGGCAAGACCUACUGCGGAAAGGAUCUCGAUCUCUGCAGCGGAGUUUUCCCACACUCACAGAGCUUCCUGUUUUUGUCCUCUCAGGGUUGGGGUCUGGCUCCCCUCCUCUGGCAGAGG
rnacentral:sRNA from 1 species